rnacentral:tRNA from 2 species
GGAGAGGUGGGUGAGUGGCUUAAACCAGCAGUUUGCUAAACUGUCGUGCUCGAAAGGGUACCGGGGGUUCGAAUCCCCCCUUCUCCG